AUUGAACGCUGGCGGCAGGCCUAACACAUGCAAGUCGAGCGGAUGAAGGGAGCUUGCUCCUGGAUUCAGCGGCGGACGGGUGAGUAAUGCCUAGGAAUCUUCCUGGUAGUGGGGGAUAACGUCCGGAAACGGGCGCUAAUACCGCAUACGUCCUGAGGGAGAAAGUGGGGGAUCUUCGGACCUCACGCUAUCAGAUGAGCCUAGGUCGGAUUAGCUAGUUGGUGGGGUAAAGGCCUACCAAGGCGACGAUCCGUAACUGGUCUGAGAGGAUGAUCAGUCACACUGGAACUGAGACACGGUCCAGACUCCUACGGGAGGCAGCAGUGGGGAAUAUUGGACAAUGGGCGAAAGACUGAUCCAGCCAUGCAGCGUGUGUGAAGAAGGUCUUCGGAUUGUAAAGCACUUUAAGUUGGGAGGAAGGGCAGUAAGUUAAUACCUUGCUGUUUUGACGUUACCAACAGAAUAAGCACCGGCUAACUUCGUG
rnacentral:rRNA from 1 species